AUUUCAUUUCGUCUCCAUUUUUCUCAAUUAUCAUUGUAAUUUUAUUAUGUAAAUUUAGUUUAAUAGGAUUGGAUGAUGGAUAGUAGAUUGGGUGUGGGUUUUACUAAUUAUAUAAUAAGACUAACAGGUAGUCUUGGAUCUUUUACCAUUGUAAUAGUACCUGAGGAUUUGUAGAGGAAGGAAUCAUUCACGACUUGAUAAGAAAAAAAACAUGCCUUUGAUGAUUUUUUUUCCAUCUUGUAAAAUCAGAUGUGCUCAUGUGAUAUUUGAAAGUUCAUCAUGGUAUACACACAACAUGCUAACGUAGAUAACUGUACAGGAUAGAUAAUUAAUGACCUCAACAAUCAUCAUUAACCCUAUCUCAUCUACAAUGAACCCUGCAGUAUCCAGCCACUUUACUUCUGGCCAAAAGUGGCUCAAUAUUGAGACAGUGGGAUGAACUAGAGUAAUUUUGUUAAAGAUUAUUGUGUCCUCUAAAUCUGGGACACUGGUUACUAGUUGGAUAGAGUGGAUGACAGAGACUGAUUACUGGUAGGAUAGAGUGGAUUGAGUGGAGACUGAUUACUAGUUGGAUAGAGUGGAUUAGUGGAGACUGAUUACUGGUUGGAUAGCGUGGAUUAGUGGAGACUGGUUACUGGUUGGAUAGAGUGGAUUAGUGGAGACUGGUCACUGGUCGGAUAGAGUGGAUUAGUGGAGACUGAUUACUGGUUGGAUAGAGUGGAUUAGUGGAGACUGAUUACUGGGUGGAUAGAGUGGAUUAGUGGAGACUGAUUACUGGUUGGAUAGCGUGGAUUAGUGGAGACUGGGUACUGGUUGGAUAGAGUUGAUUAGUGGAGACUGAUUCCUG